rnacentral:rRNA from 1 species
UACGUAGGGGGCAAGCGUUGUUCGGAAUUACUGGGCGUAAAGGGCGCGUAGGCGGCACAGCAAGUCGGAAGUGAAAGCCCGGGCUCAACCCCGGAAUGUCUUUCGAAACUGACUGAGCUAGAGUGCAGAAGAGGCAACUGGAAUUCCCAGUGUAGCGGUGAAAUGCGUAGAUAUUGGGAAGAACACCUGAGCGAAGGCGGGUUGCUGGGCUGACACUGACGCUGAGGCGCGAAAGCGUGGGGGAGCGAACAGG